AGAGAGGGAGGGAGGGAGGGAGGGAAGGAGGGAAGGAGGGGAAUCACUACAACAGAAGAACACCAGGCUGCAUUCCAGGUUACUUGGUGUGGGGAUAAGCUAGGCUCAUAUCUCACCAUCAAUUGCUCAGAGGUGCUAGGUUCUGUCUUCAUCAAAUACCCCCAGCCUGAUUGAGGUCGGUAAAAGGCCUAGAGAGACCAUUUGAGUAAGUGCACAGUGAGAGAAGCCAUGGAAAGAAGAAAAGGUGGGAAGGUUCAGGAAAGUGGAUGAUGUACUGGUUCCAGAGGCAGAGAUGGAGUGGUGAGGGAAGGCUGGCAUCAAAGGGGAAGGCUGGCUGCUCUCCGGGUUAACAGCCCUGGCAAAGGGAGAGGGAGCCUGGCCCUGGGCAGUAACAACAUUCGAAAGAGCGUGGAAACAGAAGGGGCAGGAUCUGGAUGACUAGGUAGGAUGGGGUCAGGGUAGGAGGGUCAUGGAACAGGAAAGAGACCAAUAAAAAUCCAGACUGUGCUGAAGGUGUCCUUGUUGAGACAAUGAAAGAGGGACCAGGGUAGUAGAGUGCUGUCUGGGAAACCCUGACAUCCAUGUCGGGACUCAACAUGCCACCAUGGUUAGCUGAAAGUGCAGUGCAGGGACUGGAAUUCAGAGGCUGUGUGACAGUGACUGAGGAUGCCCACACGGAUGGUGACAAUUCCAGGAAGGCACGGAGACAGAGGAGGGCACAGCAUUGAGGUCUCUCUGAACCGCAUCUCAUUUUAUCCUUACUUCAGAUUUUGUUUCUUUUAUAAUUCUCGUGGAGCCGAGAAUAGUAGGGUAUUAAGGGCUAUAAUUUUAAGCCAUGCUUUCUUUGCGCUAUGUCGCUUUUGAUAUAUUAUUUUCCAAUAGGUCUUUCUUACCUGAAUUUUAAAAGAAAAUACAUAAAUUUUAAAUCAAGGGCAGGGUUUUAUACUCUGAAAUAAAGGCAGCUGGUGUUCAUAUUUUAUAUCCGGUAUGUAAGACUAGUUUCCUACUUCACAGAAUGCCUCAUUUAGAUUCUAAUGUAUUUUAAUAAGGAAUGAAAGGAAAAUAUCACCCAGUAUAUUUUUUUCUUAAAUUACCCCUAGUGCUUGAUUACCCCUCCACAAUCAAAAUCAUGUCUUAAAUAUGAAUGAUACAAAACAAGACUACAGACUGCCUGUCUAACAGGGAGACUUCAGCUGCUUGCUUCAAAUGACAUACCUAGCUAUUCAGUAAUCACUUUAUAAUAACCCCCUUCAUUUCCAAAUCUACUUAGCCAUCAGGCAGUGGUGAGGAAGGAGCUUGCGGCAGCUUCUACAACUGCACAUUAGCUUUACAUUACAUGACAAGCUAAUUCUAGAGACUUCCAAAGAGAGACAAGCUUGGGUCCUUGUGAUUUUCUUCCCUUUGCCUGCAAGAAACGUGUGUCUAGCUGAUAAGUGAAAGAUUAAAAACAAUAGAGACGCUCGUCACGUCAUCCCCUGCUGGUGACAGCUGGCCCGGGUUGCACCCCAGGUGACAAGGAGCACCUCUAAGUCAGGAGAAGUCUCACGGUUCCUCUUCAGCAACAAGCCGAGAAUCCUCCGGCAGGCUCUGGAGUCCCACGGCUGACUUUCUAUCGGAAGUUCUGGCGCUAACCGCUACAGGUCAUAGUGCAGGACUGGCUUCCGAGGCUUAUGGGGCAGGAGAUCCCACUGCGCUGUAAGUAGAUGGUCAUUAACCCAGAGACCCAUAACUGGUCGGACUACAAAACGUUCAACCCUACAUGGGCAUCUUUAUCAAGUCCCCUGAUCUCAAGGCUCAGGGAUCAUUCCAGAAGAGAAGGCAGCAGAGUGCAAGAAUCAGAGGCAGCUGAUGAAUACCUGCAAAUGGUGUUUUCUAGGCACAGCUGGAUGGUUGCACGCAAGCACGAGCAUUGUGGCAACAUGCAGAAGACCUGAACGAGCUCGACACAGAUAGAAACCCCAGCUUGGGGAAGGGGAGGUGGGCCUGGAGUCCCAGCCCAAGCCGAGGAGAUAAACUAUAAUUUUCUAUUUGCCGUCUGAAAAUGUACGAGGCUCGUUGCGUGUCUAACCAAUUAUAGUUUCCUAAAGCUGUAGGAGACCUGUUCAUUCUUCCUCCUCUAUUUUAUCUUCAAUGUGAAUUUUAAAAUGAAGCUCUCCCCGUGAAGUUAAAUUUUCAGAGGCUCAGCUCCUUUCUGUUUCAGAAUCUUUCACCUAAAAAUUCUGUUCUGUGUAGGAAGCCUCCUUAAAGUGUGAUGGGUUCCCGGGUACUCGAAUAUACAUACAGAUUUGGCAAAUGGCGUUUGCAGAAAUAGGCAAAAUCUGGUCUGAUUAAGUAGAAAUCUCAAGAUGACUUACAAUGUUAUUAUCUUACUGCCAUCCACACGUCCAUACAAAAUAAAUUCCAAGAGGACUGUGACACCCUAAUAACUCUCCUAUGCCAGAGCUUCAAAGACUCCUAUUCUCCUAAUGGGUACAUUUCUCAUUCUAGAUUAGAAUAAAAGAGGACUAAUUAUCAAGCACUCCUUUCUCAGUAGAGAUUGAAUGCAAUUGAGAACAUAAAAUAAUUCUCCGUCUAACUUAUUUAUUCAAGAUGAUUAAAAAGAUUGGAUUUCAUAUCACUCAAAUUCUUAAAGACUAAUCUUUAAAUGAAUGCAUCAAGAUUUAAUUAGCUUCAGCAGUAUUUUAUAUGCUUUGUUAAAAGCACAUUUUGUUUUACGGCAAAGAAAUAAACACUGACAACCCAGGAAAAUGUUCUCUAUUUCGUAUACACAAUACAGUAGACUACACACUGAAUCCAAUGAAUAACUGUAUUUGGUUAAUAAGUAUCAAAAAUCCUGGUUAUCUGGUACCUGUAUUUUAAAAACUUCUCUGAUAAAUGAAAUAGCUUAGUUAUGAGUAUGAUACUUGCCUCCAGAAGUUAGCACCUCAUAGUUUAAGACAGGAGCAAAUGAGCCAGGUUUUGAAAUCAAUGUUUCGUUUAAUUUAAGCACACUGCUACUUAAAGGCAUGCAAACAACCAAACAUUGUAGCAAUGCUAUACCAUAUAAUGGAUGUCACUGCUCCCUGUAGUUGUCUACCGAUGCUUAGCAUUAUGUGUGAUUUUUAAAUAUUCCUUACUCUUUUCUUUGUAUCGCACCUACAUUGAGUUCAGGUCCUCAGACCUAGGUAAUCUCAGAUCAAACAUAUUUGGCAAAUAAUCCAUCUGUACUGAACUUGUAACAUCUGUGUAUUGGGGUGACACGAGGUGGACCGUACUGGUUAGUCUUUACAGCCAACUUGACACCACAGAGUCACCUGGAAAGAUGGGACCUUAAUUAAGACUCUGCUGCACCCAGGUCUGUUAGGAGCGGUUUUGACUGGGAGGGCACAGUCCACUGUGAAGAGAACCAUCUCUUGGCAGGCUACCUUCUGAUGCACCAGAAAGCCUGCUGGGCAUCGGCCACGGAGUGGCCAGUAAGCAGCUUUGCUUUGGAGUUCGUGGUUUCCCUAUAUGCUGGAUUGUCGGCCAGAAGUAUAAACUGAAUAAACUCUUUCCUCCUUAAGCUCUACACCAAGCAUUUUAUUGCAGCUGUGGCAACAUCUCUUAUAACAGUAUUGCUGCUCUCUGUAUUUGCUUUGAUUCCUAACAUGUGAUUUCGUAUCCCCCCUCCCCCGUAUACUUACCCUUGUAUUUAACAUAGUCAGUGCCAGUCCUCCUAUUCAAAGAUUAUCAGAUUGAAAAUACUUGGGGACACCACGCAUCUGUACAGAGCUUAUAAAAUCUAUUCUCUAGCUCCCGUUCCCUGGGCACUAUAAUGUCAUGGCUGUUUUCACAGGGUCCCUUGUAUCAUGUGCUCCAAAUGUCUCCAUAGUUAUCUAGAUGCGUUAUGGGGACUGUGUACAGGUUCGGUGUGAACACUGUACCGUUUUAUGUUACAGUUUUAUGUAUCUUCAGAUUUUGGUAAUUAUGUAGGAACUUGGAAUCGACCCCCCACAAGGACACCAAGUGGGCAACUGUGCUGUUACGUCAUUGUCUGAACUCAGAAGUUAGAUUGUAAUUCCUUUUAGAAUUUCUGGUCUUCCUUAAAGGGUUUGUGGUCCUGAAUACACCUAUGGAAAUGGAUAGGAAGCUGGUAUUUGAUACUGUGUUUUCUUUUUACUUUUCCCCUGAAAGGCUGACUAUUCUUUGACGGCUGAUGUUCCCUAAACUUGGAAUCCAGAGGUGAGCUAGAGACCCUGUGUAGACAAUACUCAAUGAACUCCAGGUCACCAUCCAGCAUACAGGGAAGUGGGGAACUCAACCUCUGACCCUGCACUCUGCUGGAUGAGUGAUAUGUAGGUGCUCACAAUGUCUUUGUGAAUGCUUGAGGACGUGUGACUGUUCUGUCUCCUGGCUUUGAGCUCUUGCCUACCUCCUUCCACAGAUGAACUCUCUCUGUGACGGGGGAAGUGUGCUGGGUCAUCAGAGUCAGCCACGGAAACAGCUGCCUCUCAGCCUUAGCUCUGUUGCACGCUCCCUGCAGUCAUGCAUUUGUGCUGUAGGCAUUAGGGAAUUUCUCAGGGAAUGACUCUGACUAUAUAACCAUAUAACGUGUUUAUGUGGCCUGCAACCAGACCCAGAGAAGAGAGCUCUAGACUACUGUUGGCCCUAAAGCCACACCCCUCUCUUUCUUUCCAUCAUUAGAUCCUUGCCUUACCUGGGAUGGCUCAGAUCAUUUUUGCUCUCUUGUCGCUUAAAAGCUGUGGCCUUGGGAUUUAUACCUCAGGACGAACAGUUUACCAAGUUAUAUUUUUAAAUAAUCAUUUUCAUGUGCAUUAGCAUUUUGCCUUCAAGUAUGUCUGUGCACCAUAAGGGCCUGAGGACCACAGAGGUCAGAAGGCAGCAUUGGAUCCUCUGGAACCACAGUUACAGUUGUGAGCCUCCCUGUGGGUGCUGGGAACUGAACCUGAGUCCUUUGGAAGAGGAGUCAGUGUUCUUACCCACACAGCCGUCUCUCUAUCACGAACCCAGGUACUCUUGGGAGCAAAUAGUGUUCUUUCCCUGAUCUGAUGCCAACUACUGAAAUAAUGUGGUCCCUGCGUUUUACUCUUGCAAACAUUCUAUACUCUAUGAAAUACAGACAGCUAGGGAAUGCCUUCCGUGAAGGUAUGCAUCCUUUACAAGAUGCUACACAAAGGAGACAUGAUAAACCCAGAAAGGGUCCUCUCAAGGUGCCAGGUCAGACUGCUUUUCCAGGGUGACCAGAAGGAGCAUUUCUUCCUCUUCCCUCCAGCGAUGACCUUUAUGUUUCAAUGAAAGGCAGGAAGAGUGACAGGCAGUUCCGAUGUUUUCAGGACUGAGAUAAUCAGCUUUUCUUGUCUUCAGAGCUUAAGGUCACUUAAGUCAGCUCUUUUCAAACAUUUUAGCAAAAGUCAUACUGGCAGCAGACUCCAGAGAACAAAGAAGCCUGGUGUGCUAUUUUAAGAAACUUACUGAAACCAUGAAAUUUCUCAGAAGAUCCCAAAUUUUUAUCAUAAAAAAAAUUACGUGCUUUCAAUUAUGUUCCGAAAAAAGUUUGCCCAGUACAAAAGAGCACUGGCCAUUGCUUUUCAUCUAUUAGACCUCUAUGCUAGAGGGUCUCCCCUUCUAGCAUUUGAAAUGAGACACGGACUGGAUAUGGAGGCAGACUUGGAGGUGGACUCGUAGAGAAGGGAAUGAAAUAGCAAGAUGUGGGUUUGAGGCUUUAAAGUCUAAAAGGUUGGUGCAGACCGGAUGCCUGCCUACUGCUGUGGUCUGCAAAGCAAUGCCUUGUUAUAAUUAAGCCACUCUACCAGUUUGGAUAGCUAAUUCCACAGACAGUUGCUUUACUGACAAGCCAUGAAACUACCAUGCUAUUCUCAACCUAUAGACCUCUUUGCCAAAAACCAAACCAAACAAACAAAAACACAACCAAUCAAACAAACAAAAAACACACUUGCAGCUGUAAGGCAAUAAAAAGGACAGUCCAAACUCGAAAGAGUCCAUUUGGCCACAGAGACAGUAAUGGGUGAACGCCAACAAUCUGAUAGGUUGCCAGUAGUCUGGCUAUGUAAAUUACCAGCAGCCCAAUGGAAGAUCAACUAAUAAGAUUCAAAUUAAAAAAAAUCACUAAAAGAGGCAGACAUUAUAAACAGAGAAAACCAAACUGCGGAAUUCAUCUGCACAUAGGUAUGGAAAAAUUACUUCUUCUGCCUUAACAAUCCUCAAACCAAACCGGGGAGCCUCAGAGUCAGAAGAGUCUUGUCCCUCUGUGUCUGCCAUAGGGACCUCAGUGUGAGAGGAGACCCACAGGUACAGAUGAAGCUCCCUAGUCGCUGCCUUGGCACGUCUACACUGAAACCGGAGAUUAUAAGAUGGAGCUUUAUUAAAGACAGGAUAAACUCAGAAGCCAGGAAAUGGCUUGUGUAAAGGGAUUCUAUGUGUGCGUGUAUUCUGUAAAGGGAUUCUAUGUGCGUGUGUAUUCUGAUAAUAUAUCUCAUUAAUUAUCCACAUGGUACAUUAUUCCCAGUCAUCUUUAAGAUGUCCAAUUAUAGUUGGCUUCUAUAAUUAAAAAGCCCUUUCUCUGAUUAAAAAUAAUGAGCUUCUCAGAAAUUGCCCAGUGUUGAAUUUUUUUCAUUUCAUAUUUUAAGAACUUUCUACUGCUCUUGUAGUCAUUGGCCAGUCGGGCCUCGCAGACCCUUGAAUGUUAUGAAUUAUUGCCAACGCUCUUGGUUGCCCUGCAGAACUGAAUGAUGGGAUCCUCUUGCUGAAGACACCACAACCUGAGUCAUAGGAUGUGGAGAGAUCGAGCUGGAGCAAGCUGGAGGCUUCGUCCUCACCAGCUAGCUCCUACAGUGCUGGGAGUCACUAGGCCUGGUGCUGGGGGAAGAUGGCUGUCCAUCCGGCUGUACGUGCAGCAGAGGACGGCCUUAUGUGAGCGUUCCCGGAUAAAACCAGAUCCCACCUUUGCAAUAACAAAGGGCUCUGCAGAUGCCAACAGACCCGUGCUGGGGAGUUCUUGAAUGUUCUAAGCGCUUGAAAUGUAAACAUAAUAGACCUACACAUAAAUUCUUCCAAAGGUGUUCCUGUGAACACGUUUAGAUUAUGUGUCCCUCUCCAAGGCACAGGACAAUAUGUGAUAUGUGUUAUUGCCUGGCUGAUUGUCACUUCUGCAUCCUCCAAACACUCCCAACAAACACAACCGCCAAGAAAAAGCAGAAGAGAAAUUCUGAAACAAUAACCCACAAGUCGACAUAAAUAUGUCUUAACUCAGCCAGUAAUGUAACAAAUAUAUACUGUGAGACCAAGAAGUCUUUUGUUGAUUAAGCAGCGACGCCACAACCCUACACUGGGAACACACCACACUUUGAAAUGCUGUAAAAGUCCUUGUGGGUUUAGAUGUGAUUUUGCUUUAUGGGAGAUAUGAUUCUGCUUUUGUUUUCUUUUGCAAUACUAUUUUGUUGAAAUUACAGGCAUGCACCAUUAUGUACGACCAUCAAUCUUUUGCAAAGUAUUUUCACCUCAGUAGAGAAUCUCAUGGGGGAAAAUCAUGGACAACUGAAAAAGGUAGGUUUUCCCCACCCCUGUGCUUUUGGAUAUUCACAAGGACUAGACAGUUGUUUUUCUUCCCAUGCCUGUAGAAGCACAACUUGCAACAAUAUUGAAAACAAAAGCCUGGCCUAAAGAAUCCUAAACCGUUCAACUGAAUGAAUCCUGAUGUGAUUCAAACGAAAUAAAUGCUCAUUUAAACAAAGAAAUGGGGAUGCCCCUUAACCUCUGCUAUAUGCAUGCACAAAGGAAUGGGCAGGAGGCUACGUUUACUCAGGAGCAGAUGAAUUGGUUCAGAACCUUCUGAUGUUGUUUGCCAUAGUGAGUUUAAGAAAAAUAGCUAGUUGGGAUUACUGCCAACAGUUAAUUAUAAGCGACUUGUAGAUAUUUAAAUUUGUGAUCGGGGUUUCUGUGGGAUAAGAUGUCUCAACAUCAAUCAACUCUUGUUACCCUAGACUCCAGGGAGAAAAUAGCAAUGUCUGAGCUGCCACCUUUUAAACAAGAAUCAAGGUUAAUCCACGGGAACCAUGGAGGUCAACAUUUCUCUCUACUGUGAACUUGAAGUCCGUGCUAUGAAAGGGAAGUGACUCCAAUCGCCCUCAUUUAGCAGGAUAAAGGUCGUUUUCCAUAGUUGCACACUUUAAGCAUACUACCCAAGACUGGACAUAUGGGGAAGGUACUAGAAAGCAUGACCUAGAGAGAAGUAUGACCUACACAUGCCAGGAUCGACACCGGAGAACAUUGCUUUUUAUAUACUUCUUUCUAUACGGGACAAAACAAAAAGCUCUCAGAAGUUGGGAGUUAUAUAUAUUGCCUGUUCUUGCACAUGACAGGCAGCUUCAGACAAGUUAAAUAGCAUGUCCAAAGUCUCAGAAACAGUGAGUGACGGAGUUAGACCAUUAUGCUAACCCUGGCUGUCAACCGGGCACUCCUGGAAAGAAGGUUCCUCAGGUGAGGAGCCACCUCCAUCGGAUUGGUCUAUGGGCGUGUCCAAGGGGCAUUUUCUUGAUGGCUAAUUGAUGUAGAAGGGCAGAGUCCACUGUGAGUGGUGCUACCUCUGGGAAGAUUGUCUUGGGUUGCAUAAGAAAACUGGCUGAAUGUGAGCAAAAGCCAGAAAGUAUAAACCAGUAAGCACCAUUCCUCCUGGCCUCUGCUUCGGUUUCUGCCUCUGGGUUCCUGCCUUGAGUUCUGGCCCUGGUCUCUUGUAAUGAGGAAGCCGAAUUAAUCAUGUCUGUCUCCAAGUUGUUUUGGUUCAGUGUCUUAGGACUCCAA
rnacentral:sRNA from 1 species